CCUACGGGUGGCUGCAGUGGGGAAUAUUGGACAAUGGGGGCAACCCUGAUCCAGCCAUGCCGCGUGUGUGAAGAAGGCCCUCGGGUUGUAAAGCACUUUCAGUGAGGAAGAACGCCUGGUGGUUAAUACCCAUCAGGAAAGACAUCACUCACAGAAGAAGCACCGGCUAACUCCGUGCCAGCAGCCGCGGUAAUACGGAGGGUGCGAUCGUUAAUCGGAAUUACUGGGCGUAAAGCGCGCGUAGGUGGCUUGAUAAGCCGGUUGUGAAAGCCCCGGGCUCAACCUGGGAACGGCAUCCGGAACUGUCAAGCUAGAGUGCAGGAGAGGAAGGUAGAAUUCCCGGUGUAGCGGUGAAAUGCGUAGAGAUCGGGAGGAAUACCAGUGGCGAAGGCGGCCUUCUGGACUGACACUGACACUGAGGUGCGAAAGCGUGGGUAGCAAACAGGAUUAGAUACCCCUGUAGUC
rnacentral:rRNA from 1 species